rnacentral:lncRNA from 1 species
CGUCCUCCCACCCCUAGCAGCCGUCACCCUUUUGUGCCUUGCCCCAAGAGAUGAGAGGAAGAAAAAAGAAGAGAAGAGAGGGGAGAUGAGGGCAUACCGUCGCUCAUCAUCGUCGUUCCUCUCCAAGAAUUGGUUGGAUUUCCUUUCCUCUCUCUCUUUUCUCCACUUGAUGAAUGCUUUCUCUUGUUUUGGAUGAGUUUUAGGCCCUGCAAUUAGUUUUUUUGGUUGGAUUAGAUGGGAGAUUAGAUUUUGAUCUCGAAAUUAGUUUCUGCAGGAUGGCAGAUUCAACAGUUUCUGUUCAUGCAAGUUUUCCGUGAUCUUAGUGGCCUCAAAAAAUUAAAACGUCUGUCUAUGAGUCGUAGAUAAUUUGUAUAUCUUUCUGUGGCCGCGAAGAACACCUCAAUCGGACAUCAGAUCAGAAAGUUAUUGCAGUUUGAUUAUAGCAGUUUUUCAGUCUCAUAAUUCUGUGCAGAAUCUGUUCUCUUAAGAUUUAGGCAAUUUUAUCUACAGAAUUAAACUUUAGGAUUGUAAAAGAAGUUGUAGACAAUUUUAUAAGCUUUCCAGAUUGUUAAAGAGCGCAUUCAUAUGAAUUAUGAAACUCCAGUUAUGUUUGUUUUACUGUGGCUGUUCCUGUUUGCCUGACAAAAAUGAGUGGGUCUGUUCACUGGUGGGUUUCAUAUAGUAAAUAGCCGAAUUGGCUGUUCCAACUAUGGAGACAUUUGUAGAGGGAUAAAAGUUCUUACUGCCAGCAGAAUUUCAUAAUUUUUGGUUGAGUAGUUUGGUAGAUAUUGAAUUUUGAAGUUAACUAUGCUGCUGUCUGAAACAGAUUCAGACAUUUAUCUUAUCAGAUGUUUUAGAACUUAUAGAUGGCAGAAUUUAAUUAUCCAUUGAAUGCUGAAGUUGUAGAGUAUUUUGUGUAUACACUCCUAGAGUAUUUGUUUAAUAUCACCACUGUUAUAAUUUUAAAGAUACAAAAUUAACAAACAGUGUUGUUGUUGUUUGGCAUGUGGUUCAGGGUGGGAGUCUUUCCACCGGGUCUUGGUUUCAAGUGUAGGAGCGAUUUGUUGAUUGUUGGCAAAUGUUUGUGAAAUAUUUGUACUAAGUUUUAUGCCCGCUAGCAGGUGGCUACACUCCGGAUCAUGCCUAGUACAUCUUUCUUCCUCGAUGAAGGCAAGUGAAUGUAGUAGUGGUUUCUACCGUUUUGACUUGUUGUUUUUUUAUCGCCUACACUCUAAUAUUCAGAAUUAUAGAAUUCUUUCAUAAUUGAACUCUAUGGUGAUGCUUUACUUGAUUGUAUUAUACUGAUGCUCAAUCAUAUAUUGAUGAUGAUUAUGGUUCGAGUAUGACCCAUGAGAUUAAUUUACACCCGUGAAGGCAGAUAAAGUAUUAUUUGAGGUUUGUAUCGUAUCUGAAGGCAGAUGAAGUAUUAUUUGAGGUUUGUUUUGUAUCUGAAGGAAGUGAAGUGUAUUGAUAAAUACAGCAUGCCAUAUGCAUUACAUGAUUCAUUUGCAUCUGAAGUUUGGUCGUGACCUAUGGUCCGACUGUACCGGUACAACUUAGCAUCGUACGUUGCCCGAGGAGGGGUACGAUGCGGCUUCAUACCCUUAGAGGUAUGAAGGCAGAGGACAUAUGCAUUGCAUUUAUAUGCAUUCAUUGAAGUGAUAUUAGCAGAUGAUGUGGUUUUAUACUCUCAGAGGUAUGAGGGCAGAUGACCUACACAUUGCAUUCCUAUGCAUACAUUGAAGUGAUAUCUGCAGGUAUUGUUGACGCAGGGAAGGGUUAUACAACCUAUUGUGGUUGUUCGAGGAAAUGAGAUGGUAUUGGUUAUAUUGGGACUAUUGAGUUCUAUAUCUACAAGUAUUUCUGAUCUCAAUUGUGAUUCCUUUAAAAUGUUGUUUAAUUCAAUUUGUGGUUUAAAUAUCUCGUCAAAACAAUUUGCUUGCUGAGAUGUAUCAUCUCACUCUUGCAUUACUCAAUGCAGGUACUUGAUUCAUGUUGGGAAUGAGGGAAGUAGCAGCACGUUCACCUUCACUAUUAUAAUAACGAUGCCCAGUUGCAGCCAUGAUUUAAUUAGAAACUCGAUGACAAAUGAUGUUUGUUUUUUCCUAGUCGUGUGCACUGGUUAAUUCAGUUCAUGUCGUUAUGUUUAACUUUCCUUUGCUAGCAGAUUAAUAAUGCUUAGUAUGUUUUUUUUCAUGAUAUAUGUUUAUACACUGUUGCCCC